ACCUCACCUAGCUUCAUCUUUCUCACUGACACACACACACCAGCCACACACUGCGAAGCGAGCGUCCAUCUUGGCCGGUCGUCUCACCGCAGGCCUGCAGAGAAAGAGAGCCGUCCUUCCGACAGCAAAGGUUAAUAAUUCUGCACCUGACUCCGCGGGACCUGUCUCUGUACUAAUGCUAUGAUUUAAUCAAAUGGAAGGAGAGGUGAGGAUCGACGCUGCGCUGCCAACCGGCACGCCUGACCAAAGCACACAGACAACAGCGAAAGUCAGAAGGGACAGACGGGAAGGAAGAGAAGUGAAUAAAAUGAAUUAGAUGCUGGAACGAACAGUAGAAACCUCAAACAUCAACCUCUCAUUCACACUGACCCCAGUUUUUUGAGUCAGAUCGACAGUGGGGGUCGGAGCUGAGCUGCUGAGAAGCCACAGUUUCCAAGUUUGAUGGCCAUGCUCAGGUUGCUGCCUGGAGGCCAAAGGUCAUAUUGCCGCUUAAUUAGCGAGACGCCAAAAGAGGCUUCUGGCAACAUCGGGACAAACCGACAAAGACAAGAUCCCACACGACACGUAGCCCGCGGCCUAGAUGGUUCAUCCCCACAGAGAGAUGUGAAGUUGCUGCGUUCACGUUGGAUUAUUUCUCUGACUUUAUCCGAGUGUCUGUGAAGUGCGUCCUGGCUUAAAGGCCGAUUGUAAGAACUUAAUGGAAGUUCGUGAGACUUGGAUGUGAGAUUGUUGGUGGGGUGGGCAGUUGUUGUUGUUGUGUUUGUUGCUGAUGUGGGUCAGCGUUGAUGGAUGGAAUAGAUGAAUUUCUUUCCUUUUUGUAAUUUCCAUUUUCCUCUGGGAAAUAAUGUCAGUGGACAGGAAAGAAGCUCUCAAUAUUGUUGCAGGCAUGUUUGCUUGGCAAAGACUCAUUAUACUGGAUAUUACUGUGGCAGGAGGCCGGGAGUUGUGGGGGGGGGGCUCUGAUGAAAAUAUUGAUGACCCUGAAGCCAAAUGUGUAUAAAGCCAAAAAUAUAUUAGUUGAGGUUUCUGAAGAACUCUCUUUGUGAGCGCGAAACAGAGACGAGGCAACAUCCUGUCAGCAGCCAUCACCGACAGACACUCCACUUUAUCACGUUCAGUGGAUAUCAAACUAAGUUUUAUUCAUGUUACUGCUAUUUUCACAAAGGAAGCUGCAAAUCUAUCUACAGAGAAACACCCGUAUUAAACCAAGUUUGAAUCGUGGUUCAAAAUCAAAUCAAAUCAAAUCAGCCACUCAGCAAUUAGUGGACUGCUGUACUCAGGUUAAAGACUGUGCACAGUGGACAAAUGUGGUAACUUUUUAGAUGCAAAUUUGCACUGUUUACCAAAUUAAGAGUUAGAAAUGGAAGAAAUUCUCAUAGAAAAGGUGGAAUCGAUUCUAGAAAAACUGCACAAACUGUUAAAACUAAGGUGGACACAGCUAAGAGUAUUUAUUAAGAAUAGAUAGAUCGUCAAUAAAAUAAAACAUCAGAGCACCUGAGUCAGCACGACACCUGCAUUAUUGCACUUGAAAUUGGACUCAGCCCAGACUCCUCCUUUACACCGAUACUGUUCAUAAUUUUUAUGGAUAGAAUUUUUACAUCCAGUCAAGGGAUGAAAGGGAGUCGAGCUCAGUGGUCUCAGAAUAGAACCUCUGCUAUUUUGCCGAUGUAGUCCUGCUCGCUUCAACAUGUGGUGAUCUCCAACCUGCAGUGGGGCAGUUUGUUCAUGAGUGGGGAAAGAGGGGAGCGAGGGUCUGACAGAUGGACUGGUGCAGCGUUUGCAGUAAUGUGGAUGCUGUACUGGUCUGCUGUGGUGAAGUCAAAGCUCUCCACUUUCCUGGUCGAUCUAUGUUCCUACCUUCACCUAUAGCCAUGAGCCGUAGGGAGUGGCUGAAAGAUUGAGAUCACGGAGUGGUGGAAAUGGGCUUCCUUCAAGGACUGUCUCGAGUAGAGCCACUACUCCUCCACACAGAAAGCAGCCAGCUGGUUUGUUUUGGGUCACCUAGGUGAGGUAUGUCCAAUUAGAAGGAGAAUCUGGGGAUGGCCCAGGACAGGCUGCAGUGAUUAGGUUUCCUGGCUGGCUUUGGAAACCCUCUGUUCCCCACAGGAAGAGCUGAAGGCUCUGGCUGUUGACUGGGUGCAUCUCUGCAUAGACUGCACAACCGAGAUAAGAAGAAAAUGGAUUCAUGUUAAAUGACCAAAAUUAUGCCAACAUAUCCAUAUUCAUGUCCCCUUUAGCCAUUUUAGAGGUGGACAUCAUCAGCGUCAUGAAAGACUUCAGAACAGCGUCGCUCCAACUUAGUGUCACAGUCAGUAGCUUGUUUGGCCAUUGUCUUUUUCAACAUCACAGUGACGUGCCUGUACAACGCCAUCCAACACCUCAGCUGAAUUGAUGAUUACAGAUGUGAUAGAGCAGGGACACAUUCAGCAGCUGAUGACUGAUUUUGAUGACUUGCCUGACCUACAGUGUUCGAUAUGGUUUGAUGAAGCUAAGACAGUGUGACCUUCUUUUCUGGCCAAGAAUGUAAAUAAACGAUGGACUAUCUGUUCUGCCACAAAGGCGGGAUAGACAGAUCCUCUGUAGCACAAUCUGUGUUUACUUUCAGGACUGGGUGCCUUCAUGAUGGAGGAAAUAAUAAAACACAAGCUGCUAGUUUCUUUAUUAAAAUGUAACAAAGAAACUAGCAGGUGAGCCCAUGAAGGCUCCAAUAUCUCUGACCAAAUCCGGAUGUGAAAAAGCAUCCUGAGCUCACUCAGAAACGCCGCUUUAACUCUCAAGUGGAGAAAACGUCUCUGUGGAAGGAGGACGGACAUUUGUAAUAAAGUGAUUCCGUAUCAAAGAGGAAUCCGCCCAGUCGACCGCUUAUUGGUUUCAGAUUCCCGGGCUCAGUAUCAGAGGGUUUGUGGAUGAUUGAUGAUGUCUUUCUUUAAUCAGAGAGGUGAUUCAUCAGGGCUUUAUUUUUCCGGAUUUCAGGUGUUUGUGACACAAAACUCCAAUUCAUUUCUAAUCACGGGGAAAUUAGUGUUGCUCCUCUCUGUGUUUCUAAGCUCUUGAUCACAUCUUUGAUUAGGUUCAGAAGGUAAAAAACACACUUUAAUCUUUCAGGACCCCCCCACGUAACAGAAAGUGAAAGAGUCUUUAAUCACAUCUUUAUAGUAAGCUCACAUGUUCAUUAUUCUCCCUAAUUACUGCCAAACCCCUUAAUCGAAGAAAAAAAAUGCAUUAGACAGUAUUUUGAAGAAAAACCCUUUUAUCCUUUUUUUAUUGUUUGUAUGAUUUCAGAAAAAUAAACAGUUUUAGAGGCAGCAAUUUACAGAGAAUCUAUUACACUUGUUUAUUUUUUUCUUCUUCUCAUACUGGGCUUUGGUCCUCCAUUCAUCCUCUGUCAGAAACAUGCUGUUAGGUCUUCUCCCUUUAAGAUACUUGUUUUAAUCAGACUUCCUUCUAAAUGGCUGCCCUUUGCAAACAAAAGGUUUGGACAACAGGGCUGUGGCGCGCACAUACAAGGACAUCUCUUUGUCACAUCCUACUGCAGGCAUCUAAAUUGAAAAGCAGAUAAAACUGUUUGAAACUGAGCAUUUACAGCAGCUAAUAGAAUUUAUAUAACUUAACAUUUAAUGUUAUUUAUUAUAAAGUGUGCGUGUCACAAAUAAAUAGACCAAGUGUCAAAUCUUUAUAUGAAAAACUGAGUUACAGGAAAAACUAAACGUUUGCACUGUUGUAAAGGUGCUGAGUGUUUUCUUGAAUUGUGUUGCUUGCUGGUCUUUUGUACAUUGUGGGCUUUGUGUGUCCUGCUUGUAAGGGACUGGUCUGUGUGCUGGUUCCUUUGUAGUGUGACUGAUGAUAACAAUAAACAUUUGUCAGACUGUGAUUCUGUCUGACAACACAACAAUUGCUGGUGACCGCUAUCUAAACCAGUCACUGAUGACCUGACGGUUGGUAACAAGUUAACAAUAAACAUGACAAAUUCAUUCAUUUUUUUUACUGAAAUGUUUCUUUUCUUGGGAUUA